rnacentral:misc_RNA from 1 species
ACAAACUUGGUCAUUUAGAGGAAGUAAAAGUCGUAACAAGGUUUCCGUAGGUGAACCUGCGGAAGGAUCAUUAACGAAUGAUUGCAUUAAUUUGCAAAUAUUUCAAAACACUUGUGAACAUAAAAUGCUUUGCUUUGGCUGAACUCAAGUUUGGCCAAAAGUUUUUUAAAAACCAUUUUAAUUUAAACCUUGAAAUCAGAAUUGAAAAAAUUAUAAAUUUAUUUAAAAUUUUCAACAACGGAUCUCUUGGUUCUCGCAUCGAUGAAGAACGCAGC